ensembl:processed_transcript
GUACAAACUGAAAUGCUUUAUGAGCCUCUUCAGUCCAUCAUUUCACCGCAGCUGAACAACGUUACUCUUCUGUUCAAUUAGAAAGAGAAGAAUCUGGAAAAUGAAUUUUCUUCUUCUUGCUCUAGCCUUUUUGGUUUCUGCUGCUGAGGAACCCUUACAGGUACAAGGAUGGGCUAUCCGGGAGUUAUGUGGGAAGAAACUAUGGUUUAGUGAACUUAUCACAGUUGGAACUGACAAUCAGUGUGAUUCUAUGAAUAUAUUGGUUCCUAUUUGUUUUUUGUACUUGGAAUAUAUCCCAUUUGUUAAAAUAUUAUUAUAUUAGUUUAACAUUAUAAUUACUUCAUUUCAGCUUCAUAUGGUACCUAAUAUUAUUUUACCUGGGUAAAGGGUAUUAAAAGGAACAUCUUAUUAAUGGUAUGUUUUAACUUUGCAUACUUAAUUUUAUUUGUAUUUAGAGUAUUAUUAUUCUACAUGAAUUCAGUGAUGACUUUUAAUCAGUAUAAUAAAAACAAAAUCAGUUUGAUAUCUGCAGGGCAAACACAUUAUAUAUCAUAUGUUUGAAGAAUAGAUUUUUCUCCUUUUGAGUCACUGCACUAUGAUAAAUAUGUGAGAUAAUAUUAAUUGUAAAACAGAAAUUUUUCCAAAACAAGGACUAAUUCUGUGAAGUUUGAUUUAGCAUGUUUGUUCAUGUGUGUGUGUGUGUGUGUGUGUGUGUGUGUGCANNNNNNNNNNNNNNNNNNNNNNNNNNNNNNNNNNNNNNNNNNNNNNNNNNNNNNNNNNNNNNAACAUCCCUACUGCUGCUUCUAUGAAGGUAUUGCCCCAAACACCCACUCCUGCCUCCCGACACUGGCAUUUACUUAACUUACUUUUCUAAAUAUUGAUUUACCUUAAAGUUUCACUUAGUUGAUUUUAUUGUUUUAUGUGUGUGCGUAAUUUGUCUGCAGGUUGCACUAUAUAUACGUAGUACCUACCAAGGCCUUAAGAUAUACCUCAGAAACGAACUUACAGGAGAUUUUGAGCAAACAUGUGGGUGUGGGAACUCAAACUCAUAUGCUGCCACUGAUGGUUUUAAUUUAUAUUAAUUUUUAGUUUUCAGGGAAAUUUCAUACUGUCUACCUAGCAAGUAAAUCUGUGGGUGCAAUAGCAGAAAAUAGUCCAGAGCGUAUGCUGAUGCGUGAAGUUCAGUUUUUUAAUGAACACAGUGUCAUGAGCAUGACGUUCUAUGUGAGGUAAGAAAAGGUCUUUCAUUAAAAGGAACAAUUUGUUGAAAUGGGAAUCAUCCUUGAGGUCACUCUCCUCACUUUGGUGAUGUGGGAAAUCCUGUCAAUUUAGGAUUGAGCCCCAUUUCCAUCACUAAAUCUUGGUGCACAAAGGAAGACUGUCCAUUUCCAAUAGGAAUCACAAACUCAAAAGAUGUUUAAUAAGAUAUUUACAAACCAAAACCUAGCAUCAUAGAAAACAGAUUCAAGGCCAGGAAUUUGGUUUACUUUCAGAAAGAUGUGACUUUUUGGAGGGAGAAAUAGACAUUUGAUUAUAAAUGUGAAAUAAGGAGAGUUUAUAGUUUAAUAUGCAUUGUUUAGGAAAAACGGGAUCUGCCAACUACACACAGUUUGGGCUGAUAAACUCCCAUGGAAUUAUUGCACAAAGAAAGGUGAGUAUUACUGAUUCAGGAUUGACUGCAUUGUUUACAUGUUAUUUAAGGAUUUGAACUUCAUCAAGACUGUCUUUAGUGGAGAAAUGGUCUAUUAUGUCUAAUUUUACAGAGUUUUAAAUCCGCCGAGAAUGUCUCAAAAGCAAAGGGACCCAUGAUCUCUGUGGGACCUGGAAAGUGCAUGAUCCAGUUCGUCAUUUUCCAAAUAUCUACUAUUUAUCAUAUGAAGGAGGGUUAAAAAAAAAGUGAGCUUAAUAGCCAUUAUUUAUUCUCCACCAGUAGGAGUGAGUGUAUUGCACUUAUGAAUGAAAAUUUCUAGGUGGCAAAAAAGGAAACAAAAAUCAAACAAAUAGCCAGGUGUGGUGGUGCACACCUUUAAUCCCAGCACUCAGGAUGCAGAGGCAGGCAGUUUUCUGAGUUCGAGACCAGCCUGGUCUACAAAGUGAGUUCCAGGACAGCCAGGACUAAAUAGAGAAACCCUGUCUCGAAAACAAAACAAAACAAAACAAAGCAAAACAAAANAACAAAAAAAAAAAAAACC